UGGUGGUGGUGGUGGUGGUGGUAGUGAGGCUAGGUUAAGUUAUGCAGUGGUGGUUGGUGGUGGUGGUGGUUGGUGGUGGUGGUGGUGGUGGUAGUGAGGCUAGGUUAAGUUAUGCAGUGGUGGUUGGUGGUGGUGGUGGUUGGUGGUAGGUUAAGUUAUGCAGUGGUGGUUGGUUGGUGGUGGUUGGUGGUGAUUUUGGUGGUGAGGUGGGCUUUGUAUGUAGUGGUGGUUGGUUGGUGGUGGUUGGUGGUGAUUUUGGUGGUGAGGUGGGCUUUGUAUGUAGAGGUGGUUGGUUGGUGGUGGUGGUGAUUAGAUUGUGGUGGUGGUGGUAUAGCAAUGUUGGUGGUGGUGGUGGUGGUAUAGCAAUGUUGGUGGUGGUGGUGGUGGUGGUGAGCUUUGUAUGCAGUGAGGGUGGUUUUGAUGGUGGUUGGUGAUAGGGGGAGUUAGGCAGUGGUGGUGGUGGUGUGUGUGGUGUUUCAUGGUGGUGGUGGUGGUGUGUGGUGGCCUUGUGGUGAGUGCCAGCCACAUACACCACACACCAGUCUCACUAACACACACCAACAGUAACAAACAGUGCCACUAAAGACUCAUACAAGUACCUUUCAUGUUCUUUCUUUGGCGACAUAAAUAUUUAAGAACUCAAAGCUGUCUAUUACUGGUGGUGUUUGUUGGUGUUUGUUGGUGUUUGUUGCUGUUUGUUGCUGUUUGUUGGUGUUUGUUGGUGUUUGUUGGUGUUUGUUGCUGUUUGUUGGUGUUUGUUGCUGUUUGUGCGAGAGAGAGGAAGGGAGAGAAAGAAAGAGAGGGAAGAAUAUGUUCGAGAGAGAGAGAGAGAGAGAGAGAUUAAGUUAAAGAAACCAAGAGAGAGCGAAUUAAAGAAAGUGAGAGAGAGAUACCAAUUCCAACAACCAGAACUUGACAGAAUCCAAUAGGCCUACACAAAAACCCAUUACAGAACCAUUUCCUUGGCCUCCUCAAAAAGCUAGCCCCUAAAACAUGUUCUGAACGAGUUUCUGAACGCGAGAGACAGACAGACAGAGGAGAAUUUUAGGAUAUAAGAAAGAUUUGAAAGUAGGUCUAUAAUUUACCAAGUGGAGUUUUCUAUCAAUUCUGGGCUAGUGUGAGAUGUGGUAGUGGUGGUGGUGGUGGUGGUGGUGGUGGUGGUUGUGGUGGUGAUGGUGGUGGUUUGUGGUUGUGGUAACAUUCUUAAAAAUAAACUUAAGAAUUAUAUAUAUACAGUUUUUAUUAUUGUAUCUCUCUCUCUCUCUCUCUCUCUCUCUCUCUCUCUCUCUCUCUCUCUCUCUCCUUCCUUUUUUCAAAUUAUAACUUUUUUUUUCUUUUUUUCUACCUAAACACUUUCUCUCUUUCUCUAACAAACACACACAUGCACACACACACUUUCUCUCUCUCUCUCUCUCUCUCU